AGAGUUUGAUCCUGGCUCAGGACGAACGCUUGCGGCGUGCCUAAGAAAUGCAAGUCGAACGGGGGCUUCGGCCCCAGUGGCGAACGGUCGCGUAACACGUAAGCAACCUGCCCUGAAGUGGGGGACAACAUCCCGAAAGGGGUGCUAAUACCGCAUGUGGUCACGAGUCGGCAUCGACUAGUGUCUAAAGAUUUAUCGCUUCAGGAUGGGCUUGCGGCCUAUCAGGUAGUUGGUGGGGUAAUGGCCUACCAAGCCGACGACGGGUAGCUGGUCUGAGAGGACGAUCAGCCGGAUUGGGACUGAGAUACGGCCCAGACUCCUACGGGGGGCAGCAAUUAGGAAUCUUGCGCAAUGGGGGAAACCCUGACGCAGCGACGUCGCGUGAAGGAUGAAGGCCCUCGGGUCGUAAACUUCUUUUGAGUGGGAAGAAAUUUGACGGUACCACUCGAAUAAGCCCCGGCUAACUACGUGCCAGCAGCCGCGGUAAUACGUAGGGGGCGAGCGUUGUCCGAAGUUACUGGGCGUAAAGCGCGCGUAGGCGGUUAUUUAAGUCUGGGGUGAAAGGUUCAGCGCUCAACGUGAACAGUGCCUUGGAUACUGGAUGACUUGAGUCUGGGAGGGGGAAGGGGAAUUCCUGGUGUAGCGGUGAAAUGCGUAGAUAUCAGGAGGAACACCGGUGGCGAAGGCGCCUUCCUGGCCUAAGACUGACGCUGAGGUGCGAAAGCGUGGGGAGCAAACGGGAUUAGAUACCCCGGUAGUCCACGCCGUAAACGAUGAGUGCUAGGUGUCGGGGGUAUCGA
rnacentral:rRNA from 1 species